rnacentral:ncRNA from 1 species
CAACCUCAACUCAUAUGGGACUACCCCCUGAAUUUAAGCAUAUUAAUUAGGGGAGGAAAAGAAACUAACAAGGAUUUUCUUAGUAGCGGCGAGCGAAAAGAAAUCAGUUCAGCACUAAGUCACUUUGUCUAUAUGGCAAAUGUGAGAUGCAGUGUACGGAACAUCAACAUUCUAGUAUGAGAAGUUAACGAUUUAAGUCCUUCUUAAAUGAGGCCAUUUACCCAUAGAGGGUGCCAGGCCCGUAUAACGUUAAUGAUUACUAGAUGGUGUUUCCAAAGAGUCGUGUUGCUUGAUAGUGCAGCACUAAGUGGGUGGUAAACUCCAUCUAAAACUAAAUAUAACCAUGAGACCGAUAGUAAACAAGUACCGUGAGGGAAAGUUGAAAAGAACUCUGAAUAGAGAGUUAAAUAGUACGUGAAACUGCUAAGAGGUUAGCCCGAUGAACCUGAAUAUCCGUUAUGGAAAAUUCAUCAUUAGAAUUGUAUAAUUUUAACAAUAUUAUAUAUAAUGGGCAUUUUUUCCAUAUAAGGACAUUGUAAUCUAUUAGCAUAAAUAUUUA